rnacentral:rRNA from 1 species
UGUCCAGGCGGCCUUGUUAGUCUCUUGUAAAAUCCGUGGGCUUAACCUACGGCGCGCAAGGGAAACGGCAAGGCUCGAGGGCGCGAGAGGUGCAUGGAACUCGAUGGUGGAGGGGUGAAAUCCGUUGAUAUCAUGGGGAACACCAAAGGCGAAGGCAGUGCACUGGCGCGUUCCUGACGCUCACACACGAAAGCCAGGGGAUCGAACGGGAUUAGAUACCCCGGUAGUCCUGGCCCUCAACGUUAUUCGCUCGUUUCGCGGAGUAUCGACCCUCUGCGAGACUAAGGUAACCCGGUAAGCGAACCGCCUGGGUAGUACGAUCGCAAGAUUAAA